rnacentral:rRNA from 1 species
UACAGAGGUCUCAAGCGCUGUUCGGAAUCACUGGGCGUAAAGGGUGCGUAGGCCGCACGGUAAGUCAGAGGUGAAAUCCCGGGGCUCAACCUCGGAAUUGCCUCCAAUACUGCCGUGCUUGAGGACUGGAGAGGAGAUUGGAAUUCACAGUGGAGCAGUGAAAUGCGUAGAUAUUGUGAGGAACACUAGUGGCGAAGGCGAAUCUCUGGACAGUUCCUGACGCUGAGGCACGAAGGCCAGGGGAGCAAACGGG